rnacentral:rRNA from 1 species
CUACGGGAUGCACCAGUGGGGAAUUUUGGACAAUGGGCGCAAGCCUGAUCCAGCCAUUCCGCGUGAGUGAAGAAGGCCUUCGGGUUGUAAAGCUCUUUCGCAAGGGAAGAAAACUUAUCCUCUAACAUAGGGUGAGGUUGACGGUACCUUGAUAAGAAGCACCGGCUAACUACGUGCCAGCAGCCGCGGUAAUACGUAGGGUGCGAGCGUUAAUCGGAAUUACUGGGCGUAAAGCGUGCGCAGGCUGUUUUGUAAGUCAGAUGUGAAAUCCCCGAGCUCAACUUGGGAACUGCGUUUGAAACUACAAGACUAGAAUAUGUCAGAGGGGGGUAGAAUUCCAUGUGUAGCAGUGAAAUGCGUAGAGAUGUGGAGGAAUACCAAUGGCGAAGGCAGCCCCCUGGGAUAAUAUUGACGCUCAUGCACGAAAGCGUGGGGAGCAAACAGGAUUAGAUACCCCCGUAGUC